rnacentral:lncRNA from 1 species
CAAAAACUUGUGAAUAAAGGCAUUGGUAUGCCUUUUUAUAGCCAAAACUUUAGGGCAACCCUUUUAUUUUGUUUUAACCAUUAGUCCUUCUCUUAUUCUUCAAAUUAUUCAAUUAGUCCCCAAAUUAUUAUCUUGUUAUCCAAGUUAUAUCAAUCAAAAUCUGAAUUUCACCUUUGAACCCCACUCUAGAAGCUCCUAGAUCAGUUACCAAAGAUUCCCUGAUGAACUACCCAAAUCACCCUAGAAUUAUAUCUACAAUUACCAACUUAC